rnacentral:rRNA from 1 species
AUGUACUUCUUGUCCCCUUUCAAAUUCGCCGUUGUGUUUUUUUUAUUAAAUUCCUACUUUGUAGCUGUCGCACAACUUCUUAUUUAUGUGGGAGCCAUAAAUGUCUUGAUCAUAUUCGUUGUAAUGUUCGUAAAUGGCUCAGAAUGGUCUAAAGAUAAGAAUUAUUGGACUAUUGGACAUGGGUUCACUUCACUCGUUUGUAUAACUAUUGUUUUUUCACUAAUGACUACUAUCCCAGAUACGUCGUGGUACUUCCCGCCUUGUUUUGGAGGAAGAGGACCAAGGCCACUAUAA